rnacentral:rRNA from 1 species
GGGGAAUAUUGCACAAUGGGCGCAAGCCUGAUGCAGCCAUGCCGCGUGUAUGAAGAAGGCCUUCGGGUUGUAAAGUACUUUCAGCGGGGAGGAAGGUGUUGUGGUUAAUAACCGCAGCAAUUGACGUUACCCGCAGAAGAAGCACCGGCUAACUCCGUGCCAGCAGCCGCGGUAAUACGGAGGGUGCAAGCGUUAAUCGGAAUUACUGGGCGUAAAGCGCACGCAGGCGGUCUGUCAAGUCGGAUGUGAAAUCCCCGGGCUCAACUGGGAAAUGGAGUCGGAAACUGCAGGGUAGAGUCUUGUAGAGGGGGGGAGAAUUCCAAGUGGAGGGGUGAAAAGCGUAAGGGACUUGGGGAAUACCGGUGGCGAAGGCGGCCCCCUGGACAAAGACUGAAGGUUAGGGGGGAAAGGGGUGGGAGCAAACA